AAUCAACGCUGGCGGCGUGCCUCAGACAUGCAAGUCGAACGAUUAAAGCUCUCUUCGGAGAGUGCAUAGAGUGGCGCACGGGUGAGUAACACGUAAGUAAUCUACCUUCGAGUGGGGGAUAACGUCCGGAAACGGACGCUAAUACCGCAUAAUGCAGCGGCAUCGCAAGAUGACAGUUGUUAAAGAUUUAUCGCUUGAAGAGGAGCUUGCGGCAGAUUAGCUAGUUGGUAAGGUAAUGGCUUACCAAGGCUACGAUCUGUAACCGGUCUUAGAGGACGGUCGGUCACACUGACACUGAAUAACGGGUCAGACUCCUACGGGAGGCAGCAGUCGGGAAUUUUGGGCAAUGGGCGAAAGCCUGACCCAGCAACGCCGCGUGAAGGAUGAAGUAUUUCGGUAUGUAAACUUCGAAAGAAUGGGAAGAAUCAAUGACGGUACCAUUUAUAAGGUCCGGCUAACUACGUGCCAGCAGCCGCAGUAAGAC
rnacentral:rRNA from 1 species